rnacentral:rRNA from 1 species
UACGUAGGGCGCAAGCGUUGUCCGGAAUUAUUGGGCGUAAAGAGCUCGUAGGCGGCUUGUCACGUCGGGUGUGAAAGCCCGGGGCUUAACCCCGGGUCUGCAUUCGAUACGGGCAGGCGUAGAGUUCGGUAGGGGAGACUGGAAUUCCUGGUGUAGCGGUGAAAUGCGCAGAUAUCAGGAGGAACACCGAUGGCGAAGGCAGGUCUCUGGGCCGAUACUGACGCUGAGGAGCGAAAGCGUGGGGAGCGAACAGG